rnacentral:rRNA from 1 species
UACGUAUGGUGCAAGCGUUAUCCGGAUUUACUGGGUGUAAAGGGAGCGCAGGCGGCGCGGCAAGUCCGAUGUGAAAACCCCCGGCUCAACCGGGGGACUGCAUUGGAAACUACCGGGCUGGAGUGCCGGAGAGGCAGGCGGAAUUCCUGGUGUAGCGGUGAAAUGCGUAGAUAUCAGGAGGAACACCAGUGGCGAAGGCGGCCUACUGGACGGUGACUGACGUUGAGGCUCGAAAGCGUGGGGAGCAAACAGG